AAUGUACGUUGGCGGCGUGGAUUAGGCAUGCAAGUCGAGCGAGAACCCGCAAGGGGGACAGCGGCAAACGGGGUAGUAAUGUGUCGGAACGUGCCCUCUGGACGGGGAUAGCGGCGGGAAUCUGCCGGUAAUACCCGAUGAACUCGAGAGAGCAAAGGUGUGAUUCCGCCGGAGGAGCGGCCGACAUGGUAUUAGCUAGUUGGCGGGGUAACGGCCCACCAAGGCUGUGAUGCCUAGGGGAUGUGAGAGCAUGAUCCCCACCAUUGGGACUGAGACACUGCCCAGACACCUACGGGUGGCUGCAGUCGAGAAUCUUCGUCAAUGGGCGAAAGCCUGAACGAGCGACGCCGCGUGCGGGAUGAAGGCCCUUGGGUUGUAAACCGCUGUCGAGGGGGAUGAAGGCUUGAAGGUACUCCUUCAAGUUUGACAGAGCCCUGGAGGAAGCACGGGCUAAGUUCGUGCCAGCCGCCGCCGUAACAC
rnacentral:rRNA from 1 species